rnacentral:misc_RNA from 1 species
GAUGAAGAACGUAGCGAAAUGCGAUACGUAAUGUGAAUUGCAGAAUUCAGUGAAUCAUCGAAUCUUUGAACGCAUAUUGCGCUCUCUGGUAUUCCGGAGAGCAUGCUUGUUUGAGUAUCAGUAAACACCUCAACUUCCAUAUCUUUUUUGAAAUGGGAGUUGGACUUGAGUGAUCCCAACGCUUUUCCUCACCGAAAAGUGGCGGGUUACUUGAAAUGCAGGUGCAGCUGGACUUUUCUCUGAGCUAUAAGCAUAUCUAUUUAGUCUGCCUAAAAAACAGAUUAUUACCUUUGCUGCAGCUAACAUAAAGGAGAUUAGUUCUUGUGCUGACUGAUGCAGGAUUCACAAAGACAGGCUUCGGCCGACUUUGUAAACUCGAUCUCAAAUCAAGUAAGACUACCCGCUGAACUUAAGCAUGUCAAUAAGCGGAGGA